AAUCAGUGAUUGUGUAUCAUCUGGAAACUGAAUGGUCUUAGUUUCAAGUUGUCAUGGAUUAAAAAAUAUUUAACAUUAUUGUUUUCACACCCUUUCUAGCAACCGUUACCAAGAUCUUGAUGAACAUGAGCACAGGUGGAGUGAACUAAUUGCAUCCACAAGCUGACUAUUGUCGCGGCCCGAAAGGAGUCGUUCAGGACGACCUCCCUCCCCUUGGGACCAACGACCAAGUUCGUGAUGCCCUUGGACUGAAUUAAGUUUGUGCCUGUUGCCUCUUGUCCUAUCACUGGGUACCACUGGGAAGAGUCCUGUUCCUUCGUCUUCACUCCAUCAGCUUCUUUCAACAUGACGCCAAGGAACAGCACGGGCAGGCUGCUCUGACAGCACUGGUGAGCCAGGGGGAGCGAGUCUCAGCAGGGCAGCGCCGGACCCAGGGGGGCACAGUUCUGCAGCCCUAGGACAGCCACCAGCCUCCAGCAAGAGUUGGUCCUCCACAAAAUCGGCGUUCACCCUGCCAGCCUGCAGUGCAAGGCAAGCCCAAGGCAGAAGGUCCAGGCUGUGGGUUGGGUUGUGGGCAGGAUCAGGGAGGUACAAGAGCAGGCACAGGCAGAGCUGCAGUGUGGGUCAGGCAGAGACACAGGGCGAGCUCCGGAGCAGCUCCCAAGCAAAGGAGAGGCUGAAGUCCGCGGAGGCUGCUCAAGGACUGGCACUUGCACCGUGUCUGAGCUGGCACUGAGCCCAGGCCACCGAUCCUCCAUGGGGAGGGGAAUGCAGUCAUGGCCCUGACACACAAUCGGUUUUCUUUCAGAAGACUCUUCAAAAACAGUGAUCCAUAUUAUAACAAAUUAAAUCCUUUUGGAAAGCUGAUGUGUUACUCUAAUCUCCUGAGAAUCCUUGACACAUUUUAAUGGAUUGCUAAAUACAAUUGAUUAGAACAAAGAGCUGCAUCAGAAAAACGCCUGCAUGAGGUACACAGUUAUAAUACUGUGGCUUAUACAUUAUCAGUGAUUUAAAAAAAAAAAACAAAAAAACAAAAAAAUAAAAAAACAGUCCUUCUUGGUAACUCAUAAUUCAAUCAAUGCAAUUAAAAUUCUCCUGUUACAAGCCCACACAAGAACAAAACAUGCCACAAGUUACAUCAAAAUAUAUAUCUUUCUAAAGACUCAGUCUUGAGUGCUCAUCCAGCUUAAAUAGCAAUUCUAGAAGUGGUGAGAAAACAGAUUAGUUUUUUAUUUUUGAUUGUUUAGCCAGCAGGAGUCAAUUCACUGAAAAUUAAGUUUAGACAGGAGCUGAUAUGCCAGUUUUGAAAAGGGUUCUGAACCUUAGCUAUGUCUUUUGGAAAGCCACGGCAUUGCCCUACGGUGAUUAGGGAAGUCAUGAGAUAAAUGGGAAAUCCAAGUUUGUGCUCCGAAUCCAGGUUCUUGUACUUGUUCUGUUGCAAAUGGAAUGGCCAUAAUUUAUUCCGAAACAUUCGAUAUCGAUAGUUAGCGUGUUUCUGUAGGAUGCUAAACACUGAAAUGCAAACCUCUGGUUUAUAUCAGAGAAAACACAGCUUUUGAGCUUGAUACCAAACUUCCGUACUAAACGUCUUCAGCAUGAAGUAUGCUGCACUGAAUUGACCUCUGGGCUAUUUUUUAUCCAGCUGAUGUGUUUGUGUGUGUGCGUGUGUGCAUGUGUGUGUGAUGCAGAAUAAGAAAUUUUUACAAUCUCAGAAAACUUACUUAAGGAAGAUGGAAAAAAAAAUUUCCAGCUCAGCUCCUUUUGGUGACAAUGAAAACAUACGUAUAUGAUAGCAUUUCAGAAUAAGCAUGAGAAAGACACU